rnacentral:rRNA from 1 species
AACGAACGCUGGCGGCAUGCCUAACACAUGCAAGUCGAACGAACCCUUCGGGGUUAGUGGCGCACGGGUGCGUAACGCGUGGGAAUCUGCCCUUUGCUUCGGAAUAACAGUUAGAAAUGACUGCUAAUACCGGAUGAUGUCUUCGGACCAAAGAUUUAUCGGCAAAGGAUGAGCCCGCGUAGGAUUAGGUAGUUGGUGGGGUAAAGGCCUACCAAGCCGACGAUCCUUAGCUGGUCUGAGAGGAUGAUCAGCCACACUGGGACUGAGACACGGCCCAGACUCCUACGGGAGGCAGCAGUGGGGAAUAUUGGACAAUGGGCGCAAGC